UCUUGGAAAAUUAAGUUUUUCUCUAUAGAUGGUUUUUAUUUUUAUUUUUUUGUGCAUAUGCAGCUAUGACCUGCUCUGAUACAAUGUGUAUUAUAUCAUUUCCUCCUUGUCGUGGUGGAAGAGUUCCAUCUACCACAUGAGAGAGAUAUUUUUCCUUGGGUUUUUUUUGAAAAGUAAUCACUUUCCGAUUCAAUUGUUGAAAUAUAACAAUUUAAAAAAAAAAAAAAAAAAAAAAAAAAAAAAAAAAAAAAAACUAGCCAACUUUUGUUUCAUCAUGACUAAAAUACCCUUUGUUUUGUUUUUUUAGUUUUUUUUUUUUCUCUAUUUUUCCCUUUUCCCUUCCAAAACGCAUUCUAGGUUUUUUUUUUUCCCCUCUACUUUCCCCUUUCCCAUCCAAAACACAUUCUAGGGUUUUUUUUUUUUUUUUCUCUAUUUUCUCUUUCCCUUUCAAAAACAUCAUCGCUGUUGCCACUUUAACCAUAUUCUAAGGUUGUUUUUCUCUACUUUCCCCCUUUCCAUCCAAAACGCAUUCUAGUUUUUUCUUUUUUCUUUUUUUUUCCCCUCUACUUUCCCUUUCCCUUUCGAAGAAUAAUAAUCUCCAGUAGCCACUAUGACCACUUCACCAUUGCCAAUUGCCGAUGUCAUCCUCGUACCUCCAUCGUCCCAUCAAGAGCCAGAAGCAAUCUUCAUCCUCGCCGUCCCUUUGUCCCUUACGUACAAUAUCUUGGCCCUUCAAAUCUCCUCCAUUUUGAAGUCAUGAGUUCUAAUUUUAAUAGAUAUAGCCUGAAGAUUGAAGUUGAAAUUCUUGAAUGUUGAAGAUAUGGGAAAUUGGGUUUGGAAGUGGUAUUGUAGAAGAUGAUGAUGCGGCCAUGGUCAUGAUAUGGUAUUUCAUGUGGCGUGCUAAGGUGUCUCAGUGUUGAGGUGGCUGUGAUGACAUGGAAAUUGUGUAUUUUUUAUUUUGGCUACGUAUUUAUUUAUUAGUAAUAUUUUUAGGUAUUUUCAAAUAGUAUUUAAUACAAUUAUUUUUUAUUCCCUAUGGUAAGGAGCAAUUAUUAGUGACUAUAGAGAUGAGUGCUACAUGGACACGACUUCGGUGUGGCAAAAACUGUGAGUGAGAUUUUUAUUAGCAAAAAAUAUUUAAACUAUUAUUGCUAAACUAAAUUGGCCAGAGCAAUUAUUUAUAUUGGCAUAUUAAGUAUAA